rfam:Sphaerobolus stellatus SS14 unplaced genomic scaffold SPHSTscaffold_43, whole genome shotgun sequence.
GGCAACAUGACCGAGUGGUUAAGGUGUCAGAUUCGAAUAACCGACUCAUCUGAUCCUCUUUGAGGGCGCAGGUUCAAAUCCUGCUGUUGUCG